rnacentral:tmRNA from 1 species
GGGGGCGAUUUGGGUUCGACGGAGGUAACGACGUAGGAGCUGCAUGCCGAGUCUCUGGGCCCUCGUAAAAAGGCGCAGGCUGCAAACUAACUGCAGACGCUGAAUACGCACUCGCGGCCUAAGAGCCGCGACGUCCUUCCGAGGCACUCCCGCGGCCGAGGAAAGGGCGACGCUUAGCGGGAUAGGUGAGGGCGCGUGCCAUCUGCGCCCGAUCCGAAAUCUGACGAUGGCUGGCCCGGCGGCAUCCCGCGCGCGGGAGGUCCGGCGGGCGAGAACAAAACGCGCGCUAAGCAUGUAGAGGCUUCUACCGAGUGCUUUCGGACGGGGGUUCGAUUCCCCCCGCCUCCACCA